GACGAACGCUGGCGGCGUGCUUAACACAUGCAAGUCGAGCGGAAAGGCCACUUCGGUGGUACUCGAGCGGCGAACGGGUGAGUAACACGGGAGUAAUCUGCCCUUGGCUUUGGGAUAGCCACCGGAAACGGUGAUUAAUACCAGAUAUGACCACUUCUCGCAUGGGAUGGUGGUGGAAAGUUUUUCGGCCAGGGAUGUGCUCGCGGCCUAUCAGCUUGAGGGUGGGGUAAUGGCUCACCAUGGCUUCGACGGGUAGCCGGCCUGAGAGGGUGACCGGUCACACUGGGACUGAGACACGGCCCAGACUCCUACGGGAGGCAGCAGUGGGGAAUAUUGGACAAUGGGCGGAAGCCUGAUCCAGCAACGCCGCGUGAGGGAUGACGGCCUUCGGGUUGUAAACCUCUUUCGGUAGGGACGAAGCGAUCCUUUUGGGGAGUGACGGUACCUACUAAAGAAGCACCGGCCAACUACGUGCCAGCCGCCGCCGUAAGAC
rnacentral:rRNA from 1 species